rnacentral:rRNA from 1 species
GAUGAACGCUGGCGGCGUGCUUAACACAUGCAAGUCGAACGGAAAGGCUCCUGCUUGCAGGGGUACUCGAGUGGCGAACGGGUGAGUAACACGUGGGUGAUCUGCCCUGCACUUCGGGAUAAGCCUGGGAAACUGGGUCUAAUACCGGAUAGGACGAUGGUUUGGAUGCCAUUGUGGAAAGUUUUUCGUUGUGGGAUGAGCUCGCGGCCUAUCAGCUUGUUGGUGGGGUAAUGGCCUACCAAGGCGUCGACGGGUAGCCGGCCUGAGAGGGUGUACGGCCACAUUGGGACUAAGAGAGGGCCCAGACUCCUACGGUGGGAAGCAGGGGGAAAUAUGGCACAGUGGGGGCAGGCCUGAUGAAGCGACCCCGGGUGGGGGAGGACGGCCUUGGGGUUGGAAACUCCUUUCGGUAGGGACGAAGCGCAAGUGACGGUACCUGGAGAAGAAGCACCGGCUAACUACGUG